rnacentral:rRNA from 1 species
GAUGAACGCUGGCGGCGUGCUUAACACAUGCAAGUCGAACGGAAAGGCCAGUGCUUGCACUGGUACUCGAGUGGCGAACGGGUGAGUAACACGUGGGUGAUCUGCCCUGCACUUCGGGAUAAGCCUGGGAAACUGGGUCUAAUACCGGAUAGGACAAUGGUUUGGAUGCCGUUGUGGAAAGUUUUUUCGGUGUGGGAUGAGCUCGCGGCCUAUCAGCUUGUUGGUGGGGUAAUGGCCUACCAAGGCGUCGACGGGUAGCCGGCCUGAGAGGGUGUACGGCCACAUUGGGACUGAGAUACGGCCCAGACUCCUACGGGAGGCAGCAGUGGGGAAUAUUGCACAAUGGGCGCAAGCCUGAUGCAGCGACGCCGCGUGGUGGAUGACGGCCUUCGGGUUGUAAACUCCUUUCGCUAGGGACGAAGCGUAUUUGUGACGGUACCUGGAGAAGAAGCACCGGCUAACUACGUG